CUCUUAUCAAGAGCAGGUGGAGGGAUGAGCCCAAUGAAGCCCGGCAACCGACUCAUAUGAUGAGCACGGUGCUAAUUCUCCCAACAGAGAUGUUGAAAGAUAAGAA
rnacentral:ncRNA from 1 species